rnacentral:rRNA from 1 species
CCUACGGGUGGCAGCAGUGGGGAAUAUUGCACAAUGGGGGAAACUCUGACGCAGCGACGCCGCGUGAGCGAUGAAGUAUUUCGGUAUGUAAAGCUCUAUCAGCAGGGAAGAAAAUGACGGUACCUGACUAAGAAGCCCCGGCUAACUACGUGCCAGCAGCCGCGGUCAUACGUAGGGGGCAAGCGUUAUCCGGAUUUACUGGGUGUAAAGGGAGCGUAGGCGGCUGUGCAAGCCAGAUGUGAAAGCCCGGGGCUCAACCCCGGGACUGCAUUGGGAACUGGGUGGCUGGAGUGUCGGAGAGGCAGGCGGAAUUCCUAGUGUAGCGGUGAAAUGCGUAGAUAUUAGGAGGAACACCAGUGGCGAAGGCGGCCUGCUGGACGGUGACUGACGUUGAGGCUCGAAAGCGUGGGGAGCAAACAGGAUUAGAUACCCGAGUAGUC